CGCCCCUCGGUCCAAAAGUCCGAAGCCGCUUCAAGCUGCUCUCCAAGCGUAGCCGGGCGUCCCCACUCCCAAAGCCCUAAUUUUUCCUCCCCAAACCCCCGUCUUUCCUGAAAUGGGACGGCGGAAGGGCGGAAACAAGAGCCUCGCUCCGGGAGGCAGCCAGAAGUGCAGCUCGAGUAAUUGCCUCCACGACGCGGCCACCGGUACGAGCAUCGCCGGCGGGGAGGAGGUGGACGAGGUGAUCGAGGAGAGGACCGAGAGCUCCAACCUCGAGAACCCGCCCGAAUCCCUAGCCCUAUCCAGCAGCGAUAAAACCAGCGCCGACUAUUACUUUGAUUCCUACUCCCACUUCGGCAUUCAUGAAGAAAUGUUGAAAGACGUUGUCAGGACAAAGACUUAUCAGAAUGUUAUUUAUCAGAACACCUUUCUCUUCAAGAACAAGGUGGUUCUUGAUGUGGGUGCAGGAACAGGAAUUCUUUCUCUUUUCUGUGCGAAAGCAGGAGCAAAACAUGUUUAUGCGAUAGAGUGCUCCCACAUGGCUGACAUGGCAAAAGAAAUUGUUCAAGCAAAUGGAUUUUCUAAUGCCAUAACAGUCUUGAAGGGAAAGGUUGAAGAGAUUGAGCUUCCAGUCACCCAUGUAGAUGUCAUUAUUUCUGAAUGGAUGGGUUAUUUCCUACUCUUUGAGAAUAUGUUGAACACGGUGCUGUAUGCACGUGAUAAAUGGCUCAUUAAUGAUGGAAUUGUGCUACCAGACAAAGCCUCUCUAUAUUUGACAGCAAUUGAGGAUGCUGAAUAUAAGGAAGAUAAGAUUGAAUUCUGGAAUGAUGUAUAUGGCUUUGACAUGAGUUGCAUCAGGAAACAGGCUAUGAUGGAACCGCUUGUUGACACCGUGGACCAAAAUCAAAUGGUCACCAACUGCCAGUUGCUCAAGACUAUGAAUAUUUCAAAAAUGGCUCCAGGAGAUGCAUCUUUCACAGCACCUUUUAAACUUGUGGCAGAACGCAAUGAUUACAUCCAUGCUCUUGUGGCUUACUUUGAUGUCUCAUUCACCAAAUGUCACAAGAUGAUGGGAUUCUCUACAGGGCCAAGAUCAAAAGCUACCCACUGGAAGCAAACUGUCCUGUAUCUUGAAGAUGUUCUGACCAUUUGUGAGGGAGAAGCAUUGGUUGGGAGCAUGACUGUGGAGCCCAACAAGACAAAUCCACGGGAUAUUGAGAUUAUGCUCAAGUAUUCAUUAAAUGGACAACAUUGCCAGGUCUCCAGUACCCAGCAUUAUAAAAUGCGUUAACCUGUGAUCGUCAUUCAUCUGCAAGAGGUCCAAAUGAAGUGAGUAGCUCCAACUCCAGAAGCAGCCACCACAAGAACUGCACUUUAUGGUUUCAGUUCUCACUGCUGAUAAUUGUCAUUUGUGAAUAUUCGGGACCAAAGUAUGACAAUUGGCAGAUAUGAAACUCAGUCAGUGAAAUAGAAGAUGAUUUAGACAAGUUGCAUCUUAUUCAUAUCCUUUCACCCUGAAUUGAAGAAUGGAAUUGUAUGAAAUUAGUUUCUCCCUGUGGUGGCUGCAGUUUUCACAUAAAUGCUAUGCUUAAUCAUUGACAUGCAGGGACAUCUGAUGGCAAGCGAACUUCUUAUUCAUCAGAUUAUAUGCACAGGUUUUGGCUUUUAAAUUUGUUCUUUCUCAUA